GACGAACGCUGGCGGCGUGCUUAACACAUGCAAGUCGAACGGAAAGACCCUGCUGUUGCUGGGUGCUCAAGUGGCGAACGCGGGAGUACCACGUGAGUAACCUGCCCUUGACUUUGGGAUAACUUCAGGAAACUGGGGCUAAUACCGGAUAGGAGCUCCUGCUGCAUGGUGUUGGUUGGAAAGUUUCGGCUGUUGGGGAUGGACUCGCGGCUUAUCAGCUUGUUGGUGGGGUAGUGGCUUACCAAGGCUUUGACGGGUAGCCGGCCUGAGAGGGUGACCGGCCACAUUGGGACUGAGAGACGGACCAGACUCAUACGGGAGGCAGCAGUGAGGAAUAUUGAACAAUGGGCGGAAGCCUGAUGCAGGAACGCCGCGUGCGGGAUGACGGCCUUCGGGUUGUAAACCGAUUUCGCCUGUGACGAAGCGUGAGUGACGGUAAUGGGUAAAGAAGCACCGGCUAACUACGUG
rnacentral:rRNA from 1 species